GGAACCAUGCGAGCAAGCGCCGCCUAACCCCGCCAGGUUCGGAAGGAAGCAACGGUAAGUGGAAGCCUGUUGCGCCGUGGCGCAGGU
rnacentral:SRP_RNA from 1 species